AUUGGACCUUUUUGCUGCCUGCUGUUAAUGGAGCUGAGAUAAUCCUCUACCAUCUUCUUUCCUGAAAUGGCACUGAAAGACAGUGUACCGCAGGUGGUGAAUUAAAGGAGAGGAGGAGAUGGGGAUAAACGAGCAGGGAGGUAAGGAAGUUAGCUCCCUGGAGGAUUCCAGGUGCAAGAGGAGAGCAGAACACAAGACAGGAGAAGAGAAGGAGGAGGAGGAAGACGAAACAGAGGCAUGUGCCUAAUUGUUUUGGAAGCAGAUGGAAAAACAAUCAGGCAAACACAUUCACCAACUUAAUCAACUCCACCAUGAUGAGCAUUUUGAGAAUAAGCCCCACAGCGUUGUGAGUAAUUGUUCCAUGUAUAUGUCUCGUUAGAUUCCGACUAGAGAGCAGUAGCAUUGAUAUAUUGUUAACAAUAUGGUCUGUUGUGCUGUUUGUGCUGACUAAUCGUGUGCUGACCAAAUAGGCUGUGACUUGUGAGGUGAUUCUUGGGGACAAAGCAGCUACUCAAAGUUCCAGCAAAUCGAAACUGAUGCAUAUUCUGAUGGAGUGCUCUGCAGGAGCACUGACGCUGAUGGAAAGUUGUAUUACCGUGACAGUGGCUUACUGCAAAUAAGCAAUAAAGAAAAUCGGCUAAGGAGCCACCUAAUGAA